GAUAUCCAGUUGUUUCAUGAUGGCAUUUGCACCUCCAAAAAACACAGAUGGUCCCAAAAUGCAGACAAAGAUGAGCACCUGGACACCCCUAAACCAUCAGCUAUUGAAUGACCGGGUAUUUGAAGAAAGAAGAGCCCUGCUUGGCAAAUGGAUGGGGUGUUGCUCGGGCUGGUUUCAAAUUCCUGGGCUCAAGAGAUUCUCCUGCCUCUGCCUCCCAAAGUGCUGAGAUUACAGACAUGAGCCACCACACGGGGCCUAUUUCUCCUUUCUUCAACACAUUUCUGCCCCUGAAGCCAACCAACCUCCUCUGCUCAGCUCUGAGGAGCUCUUAUCUGUUCUUUUGAUGGGAUGCUACCUGAUUCAUGAAUCGCUAAUAAAAGCCAAUUAGAUCUUUAAAC
rnacentral:lncRNA from 10 species